AACUCCGUGCCAGCAGCCGCGGUAAGACGGAGGAUGCAAGUGUUAUCCGGAAUUAUUGGGCGUAAAGCGUUUGUAGGUGGAAAAAUAAGUCUAUUGUUAAAUCCAGGAGCUCAACUUCUGUACAGCGAUAAGAAACUAUUUUUCUUGAGAAUGGUAGGGGUAGAAGGAAUUCCUAGUGUAGCGGUGAAAUGCGUAGAUAUUAGGAAGAACACCAAAGGCGAAGGCAUUCUACUGGGCCACUUCUGACACUGAGAGACGAAAGCUAGGGGAGCGAAUGGGAUUAGAUACCCCAGUAGUCCUAGCUGUAAACGAUGGAUACUAGGGGAUGCACAUAUCGACAUGUGUAUGCUCGCAGUUCACACAGUAAGUAUCCCGCCUGGGGAGUACGCUCGCAAGGGUGAAACUCAAAGGAAUUGACGGGGGCCCGCACAAGCGGUGGAGCAUGUGGUUUAAUUUGAUGCAACGCGAAGAACCUUACCAGAACUUGACAUACCAUGGACAUUUUUAUGAAAAUAAUUAGUUCCUUCGGGACCAUGGAUACAGGUGGUGCAUGGCUGUCGUCAGCUCGUGUCGUGAGAUGUUGGGUUAAGUCCCGCAACGAGCGCAACCCUUGUCUUUUGUUACCCCUUUCGAGAGAUUGGGGGAAUCGAAAGAGACUGCCGGUCAUAAACCGGAGGAAGGUGAGGAUGACGUCAAGUCAGCAUGCCCCUUACGUUCUGGGCCACACACGUGCUACAAUGGGCAAGACAAUAAGUAGCCAGCCUGCGAAGGUGCGCAAAUCUAAGAAACUUGCCCUCAGUUCGGAUUGGAGGCUGAA
rnacentral:rRNA from 1 species